CGGGUGAGUAACACGUAUCCAACCUGCCGUCUACUCUUGGACAGCCUUCUGAAAGGAAGAUUAAUACAAGAUGGCAUCAUGAGUCCGCAUGUUCACAUGAUUAAAGGUAUUCCGGUAGACGAUGGGGAUGCGUUCCAUUAGAUAGUAGGCGGGGUAACGGCCCACCUAGUCUUCGAUGGAUAGGGGUUCUGAGAGGAAGGUCCUCCACAUUGGAACUGAGACACGGUCCAA
rnacentral:rRNA from 1 species